CUUGGGAUGGCAGAUGGCUGGCAGUUCGCUGUUUGGCAAUGCAACUGGUAUGGUCCUUAGACAUCAAGAGCAGGGAAGAGCUUCUAAUUUUGCUUCAGAUCAGUCUGCUGGGCAAAGCUGGGGCUCCUCGGGAAACUGAAAGUGCUGGAAAGAAGCAAAGAUGCUCUUGCUGGCAGCCUCAACUCUCUUUCUAGGAUGCCAAAAUGAAUAGGAAGACAGACCUGGGGAAGCUGGGGCUGUGCAGAGCUCCUGGGUGAGACUUUGAGCAGUGUCUCCUGUGCAGCUGCUGAAGGGCCCCAGCACAGCUGAGCCAGGGGAGCUGGCUUGAACGGUGUAACUACACAGGAAGCAUCCCUCCUGAGGUGCUGGUGAGCAGCCUAACAAAAUUCAGAGCACCGUGGUCCUGAGGAGAAUCACUGGGUGAGGGCAGUAGGGCUGAACUGGCUGUUGGAUUACAUCUAGUCAUCUGAGCAGAAAAGACAAGCUAAUCAAAAUGUGGAUUCACAGAGGAAUUGCUCGUCUGGACCCUGAGUGAUGAGCAAAUGGUCUUUGAGGUUUCAGAGAAUUCAAAGGUGUGUGGUGUCUCCUCAGCUGAGCGUGGCUGGGAUGCAGUCCACACCCAGGCUUGAACCCUCAGCUAAAUGAAGAGUCUGCUCCUCUCUGCAAACUUUUAGUAACUUUGAGUCACUCGGGGACAAAUGGAUGAUCCAGCUGUGGUUCCUGCCCUGAGUACCCGCAGCAUGGCUGCACACAGACACAUGAGGAUGUGACCCAGUGGCUGAAAGAAAGAGACCCUGAAGGGCUGAGGGGCUCUGAGCUCCUGGCUCCUCUGGGAGAGGUGACUUUGCAUAAGGGCUUCUUCCCCUUCUGACCUACUGCUCUGGGGAGGAACACAGUAUCUUCACCCCCCCCCCCCUUGUCCAUAGCAGAACACUAGAGGGCAUUUCCCCUGAUCCACAGGCCAGAGACAGGGCAUCUCCCACAGAAGAGGCAUGCGAGUUUCUGGAGACAAGGAAGUCUGUAAGAGGGUAUGAGGCAGCAGAGAGGCAGUUCUGGGGAACGCUCUGCUGGUUUUGGUCCCGGCCAACCAUGCCAACCAUGCCAACCAUAUUGGCGAAGGACUGGCAAGGAUUCCCAAAUGUGUCCCGCAUGGCUACAGAUGUGUUUAUUAUCAGAUUAAUCUUGUGGCAACAGAGUGAUGGUGGGAUUUUUACACCCAUUUUACCGUCAAGCGUCUUCACUCUGCUUCCUUGGAGAAAAGAAGUCCAGAAAAAUGAAACUGCAGUUGGACAGAAGAGGGAAAGGAAGCACAGGGUGCAGGAAGUUACUUCCUCCGGGAAAUGGACAGGAGGGCAGUGACAAGAAGGACACGGAAGGUGGAAGAUGGAAGCUUCAAAACAGAGACAGGAUCUUGUGUAGCCCAGGCUGGCCUUGAAGUCACUAUGUAGCUGAACUUCUUGCCUCCACCUUCUGAGUGUUGGAUGGGUACCAUCAUGCGGGUUUCAUGUGGUGCUGGGGAUUAAACUUGGGGCUUUGCGUGGAACAGACAAGCACUUGACCAACUCAGUCACAGCUUCAGGAUAUACGUUUUUAAAAAUCAGAAAGAAAUGAGGAAAAUGAUGAAGAGGUUCUUUGAGAAAAAGCCAAAUGGUGAAAACUGGCAAAGAAGAACCAAGUGACAGAGAAUAGGAACUGACCCCUGAGAAAGAAACCAAAGCAAGAGACAGAAAGCAUCGACAUGCUUGGUAAGGCCGUUUCCCUCACAAUAAAGAGAAUUAAAACGACAUAUUGAAAAGCACAUGGCAUGCUUCAGACCAUCAACUCGGAAUGACCAGUACCAAUAUGUGACAGGAAGACUACAGGACUGAAAUCAGAGGGUAAUAUCCUCGGGGCAUGUAGGCAAAAAGAGAACAUGAUUAAUAAAGUAAAGGAGAUUUUAUCAUGUGCUCUUAUACAGCAAUAUUUAGUGCUAGAAGAGCUUGGAUAAUUUCUUACAUUUUUCAUACUCAAUAUACUCGCACUCGUGAUGAGAAAAGAAGAGUGAACAACAGUUUUAUAUCCAGUGAAACUACCUUCCGUUAAGGGCAUAAACUGCCAUCACCACGCAAGAGUUUGGAGAACACCAAUUCCAUGAGAUGAGGCUUCAUUGGGAAUCUACUGAAAAAUGAUUCUCAGAUGGCUGGGGCAAUGAUGGGGGAAUCAAUACAAAGAUGGAAAAUGCAUGAUAACAAGGCAGCCACCUAUGUGGACAAGACUGUGGUAGAACCGCAAGGGGAAGAUGCAAUGCGUGUGGACUAGAUGGUCGGUUAGUGCUAGCACUGCACUCCUGAGAAACUGGAAAGAAGGAGGCCAACAACAUCAUGUAUGUUGAGGUAGUUUCAGUAUUGUCCCAUAGGAUACUAGUGUUGUUAUUUUCAUUCUGAAAUGAUUGUGAUAAUCAGGGGAUGUUCCAAUUCCAUGUUUUUGUUUUUCAAACAAGGAUUCUUGGUUUUGAAGAAAAGAGAUUCAAAUGAGAUAUAAAAUUAGUUGAGUGAAAACUAUAAGGUUUGGAAUAUGAAAUGUCAGUUUGAAUUUACAAAGUAUUUGACACUUCCCCUCACGUGUACUUUGUAUGUAUAUGUUCCAAGAAACUGAAAAAGAACAAGGAGUAAUGACCAAUCCAGUAGCAAUAAACUUCCUUUGCCAAAGAGAUCGGGUCACAGUCUAGUCGUGUGACUAUGAGACAAUAGACACACUGAACUGCCUAUUAAGUUGGUUUAUCCAGACUGCCUGUCUCUGAAUGUCUCCUUCCAUGUGGGUAGUGACUACUUGCUCCAAGCUUCCCAGUUACAUGGAGGAACCAGGGCAAUGCAAGAGCUCAGCAGUCUGGAGUGGUACUGAGUCCAUCCUGAUUGCUGUGGGACCCUAAAGGACCUCGGCUUCUGUUAGCUUCAAUGUGAAUAGGCAGUUUCUCCAAAUCCCUUUUGUCAAUCAUGGAAUCAAGUUUCUCUGUUGCUGAGACUCUAGGACCCAGCUCCUGUGGAAGGAUGUCAUGCGUAAUUAUGGUCAAAUUCCAAGGAUUCUCCACUGUCCCACUCUGAACCUCUGUCCUAUGAUGUCUGGGCCUUUUUGUUGUAGAUCCUCGGUCUUGAUGGAUUCCUGGCCAUAUCUGCUGUAGAAGCCCUCCCAAGACCCCCUCUCUCAACAUCUGCAUUCUGAAGCUGGAAUCCAACCACCGAGAAUCCAAGAGCAGCCUGACUCUACAGCAGCUAUGCCAUGCAGCCCAGGCCUUCAAUCCUUCAUGUACUAAAAGAGUUGAUAGGGCCUACUCCUGCCUGCACUCCGUCUCUGCCAUAGCCUGACAUCAUUUUCUGUUUCUUACACAUAAUUAAGAGCUGAGAACUCAGGACUUCCAGAGCUGACAAUGCUCUCAUCUGGAGCAUCCUUUCCCAUGACUUUAUUUGCUCUGGUUAGGAAACUGAGAAUCAAAGACGUGACAGCACGCUUGGCGCAUGCCCUAUCUAUCAGUGUCUCUGACCUGACUGUUCCCUACCUCCUCUCCAUCCUUCCACAGUCUCUUGUUAAUCAUGCAUUCUUACUCAGCACCUACAUGUGAGCUGUACAAACUCUGUACCAGAACGUGUGCUGAGCAGAGAGGAGCGAUGGAGGGAGAGAGAUGCUGGAGGAAGAAUCCUGCUGCUGCAGAUGAUGAAGGGACAAACCCUGCCCCCAAAGAAGUAAAGAUGGAAAAGCAAAGCUGCCACGAACAACCAGUUAUCCCACCAUGGGUGAAUGGAAGCGUAUGGAAAGUCCAUGAUACUAUUGACUCACAGGCCAAGGGCCACAAAAGCCUGCACACUUGUGUGUGCCCCUCCUCCUCUGCGAACUUAGUCUAGGAAACUGUGGAGAAACACACAACCCAAAGGAUAAACAAUACCGGACUGGGUAAAGCCUGAGGUGCUGAUUUAACAGAUACGCCGCUUUAUAACAAGCAGCAAUAUUAACAACACAAUAAAGUAACAUUUAAGGUAUGAACGAUAUUGAGGUGGCUUGAAAUAGAAUUGUUCUCAUAGGUUCCUCUAGCUGAACAUUUGGUCUCCAGUUGGUGGCACUGUUUGGGACAGUUGGGGAGGUGUGGCCUUGCUGGAGGAAGCAUGCUCCUAGGUGUGGUUUCCACAGUCCUGCCACUUCCUGUUUUCCUUUCUGCUUUGUGGUUGCUGUUGAAGCUCUCUCAGCUUCCUGCUACUUCUGGCCACGCCUCUGCCCUGCCGUGAUGGACUUGAAUGCCCGGAAACCAUAAACUACAACAAACUGUCUUGUUUUCUUGGCCGUGGUGUUUUAUCACAGCAAUAGAAAAGUAACUACUACAGAUAGUAAUAAAAUAGUGACCCAAGAAAAGUUACAUUACAAAACAGAAUGUAUGUUAUUGUAGGAUCUUAACGCUUAAGGUGUUGGUCACCAGAGGAAAGAAACACACGUACAAAAAUACUUGGGAAUAGGUUGUGAGAUGGUUCAGAGGGCAAAGGUGCCUGCUUCUAGGCCUGAUGGCAUGGGAACUGUGUGGAACUGUCUUCUACAAGCUGUCCUCUGACACUCGGGAACACUUUGUGGCAGGUCCACCUCUACCUCACCUCACUCCACAGACAGACAGACCACACACACACACACACACAAACAAAUAUAAAAUAUAAAAAUUAUUAACAAAGCUUCAUUUUAUUCUCUUCUUGAUGCUUAUCUGUGCUUUCCUUAGUAAAUGUCCACUCAC